rnacentral:rRNA from 1 species
UACGAAGGGGGCUAGCGUUGCUCGGAAUCACUGGGCGUAAAGGGUGCGUAGGCGGGUCUUUAAGUCAGGGGUGAAAUCCUGGAGCUCAACUCCAGAACUGCCUUUGAUACUGAAGAUCUUGAGUUCGGGAGAGGUGAGUGGAACUGCGAGUGUAGGAGGUGAAAUUCGUAGAUAUUCGCAAGAACACCAGUGGCGAAGGCGGCUCACUGGCCCGAUACUGACGCUGAGGCACGAAAGCGUGGGGAGCAAACAGG